GAACAAUGCUUUAGAUUAUAAUCGUCUUCUAGUAACUGCUCAGAUAUUUGUGAACCUUGGUUCAGUGGGGGGUGAUCUAGCUUUACGCAGAGAAGGUCAUCUUGAUAAGGUUUCACAUACUACUGCUGGAAGUUAAUUUCUGUGUUGAAGCAAAGGGGACAAGUUGUUGGCAUCUCAAAAUGUACAGCCGUCAUAGUGGUGGCAACUAUGUGGCUUAUGCUCGAGCGAACUCAAGACUCCCACCUGAUCAGUAGUACACGUGGUGUGGAAAGAAAGAAGGUGGGC